rnacentral:rRNA from 1 species
AACGCGAAGAACCUUACCUGGACUUGACAUCCCGAGAACCCUCUGGAAACAGAGGGGUGCUCUUCGGAGAACUCGGUGACAGGUGCUGCACGGCUGUCGUCAGCUCGUGUCGUGAGAUGUUGGGUUAAGUCCCGCAACGAGCGCAACCCUUGUCUUUAAUUGCCAUCAUUCAGUUGGGCACUUUAAAGAGACUGCCGGUGUUAAACCGGAGGAAGGUGGGGAUGACGUCAAGUCCUCAUGGCCUUUAUGUCCAGGGCUACACACGUGCUACAAUGGGUGGUACAAAGAGCAGCAACCUCGCGAGAGGAAGCAAAUCUCAAAAAGCCAUCCUCAGUUCGGAUUGGAGUCUGCAACUCGACUCCAUGAAGUCGGAAUCGCUAGUAA